GGAUCGAUGAUGACACCCCAAAAAACAUUCCUUGGGAAAGCUGAACAAAAUGAGUAAAAACUGAACUGUCGUUCUCAUCGUAACUGAGGUCA
rnacentral:snoRNA from 1 species